UUCGGUCCAAUAAUGAACCGGAAUAACUAUCUGCCUUCAAGGCUUAAAUCCAUAAUGGGAGCCGGGUUUUCAGAAUUCAGGUUUCUGAUAAUAGGGAGCUAAGCCGAAGCGUAGAAUUCAAUUGCCCGAAGGUUGAAUUGAAUAUUGGUGUUCUGCAGAACUUUUCCUACGGGAAUUUUCACAUUGUUCCUUCCCAUAGUUUACAUUGGUCAUGUCUAUUACCCGAUUCAAAUAAAUUUGCUUUGUGUAAAUGCUCUGUUGGCCUCAACAUGGCCACAAAGAAAAUUAUAGCUAUUUGUCAGUCUGGAGGUGAGUUCGAGACCAACAAAGAUGGGUCAUUGUCAUACAAUGGUGGAGAUGCCUAUGCAUUGGACCUUGACCAGCAGACGCAAUUAAGUGAUUUCAAGCAAGAACUCGCAGAAACAUUUCAUUGUAGGGUUGAGGGCAUGUUGAUUAAGUACUUUCUUCCAGGAAAUAAAAAGACACUCAUUACAAUAUCCAAAGACAAAGAUCUCAAGCGCAUGGUGAACUUCUUUGGGGACUCUGAUCAAGUGGAAAUCUUUAUCAUGACAGAGGAACGUGUUGCCCGAAAUGUGUCCAAUAUGCCUGCCAGUAGGUCAAGCAGGACAACUGUGUCAGAAGCUGUGGUGCCUGCAGCUGUACCUGUUGAUGUUAUGAACUAUGAUGAUCCAAUUGAUAUGGACGCACCUAUUAAAAUACAGAAUCUUGAAGCUUCUGCUGAUAUUAAUGGUGAGAAGCACAUUAAAGCUAUAGUGCAAUGGGAGAAUACAAUCACUGGUGUGGACCAAAGAUUUCGUAGUUUUACUGAAUUCCGUGAAGCUUUGCACAAAUACUCAAUUGCACAUGGGUUUGCUUAUGACUAUAAGAAAAAGGACAGUCAUCGUGUAACUGUCAAAUGCAAAUCAGAAGACUGUCCCUGGAGGUUAUAUGCAUCUAGGUUGGCCACCACAGAGUUAAUUUGUAUUAAGAAAAUAACUGGGAAACAUACAUGUGAAGGAGCAACUGUAAAAGCUGGGUAUAGGACAACCAGGGGCUGGGUUGGAAAUCUCAUAAAGGAGAAGUUGAAGGUUUCUCCAAACUUCAAGCCGAAGGAUAUUGCCAGUGAGAUUGAACAGGAGUAUGGGAUCCAACUGAACUAUACUCAGGCAUGGCGUGCAAAGGUAAGGGCAAGGGAGCAGCUUCAAGGUUCUCAUAAGGAGGCAUACAAUCAAUUACCAUAUUUUUGUGAGAAGAUAAAGGAGACUAACCCAGGUAGUGUUGCUACAUUUGCCACAAAGGAGGACUCAAGCUUCAAUCGCCUCUUUGUCUCAUUUCAUGCCUCAAUAUCUGGUUUCCAGCAAGGAUGUCGGCCUCUCCUCUUUCUUGACAGCACAACUCUAUAUUCCAAGUACCAAGGGACCUUAUUGGCUGCAACAGCUAUAGAUGGGGAUGAUGGCGUAUUUCCAUUAGCUUUUGCAGUAGUAGAUGCCGAAUCUGAUGACAACUGGCAUUGGUUUCUAUUGGAGUUGAAAUCGGCAGUGUCAACAUCUCAACCGAUUACAUUUGUUGCAGAUUUCCAGAAAGGCUUGAGAGAGUCAUUACGAGCGAUAUUUGACAAUUGCCAGCAUGGUUAUUGUCUGCGCUACCUUGCUGAGAAGCUCAACAAAGAUUUAAAAGGGCAGUUUUCACAUGAAGCAAGGCGUCUUAUGGUUCAAGAUUUUUAUGCUGCUGCUUAUGCACGCAAACCUGAAGAUUUUGAACGUUGCACUGAAAACAUAAAAGCUAUCUCACCUGAAGCUUACAAUUGGGUUAUAAGAAGUGAGCCUGAUCACUGGGCAAAUGUGUUUUUUGGGGGGCAAAGAUAUGACCAUAUGAUGUGUAACUUUGGAGAUCUGUUCUACAGUUGGGUAGAAGAGGCGACUGAGUUGCCAAUAACUCAGAUGGUUGAUGUACUACGAGGAAAGAUGAUGGAGUUGAUUUAUACAAGGCGUGUUAAUUCCAAUCAAUGGGGAGCAAGGCUGACACCUUCUAUGGAAGAAAAGCUACAAAAUGAGGCUUCAAAGUCUCACUCGCUUCAAGUGUUACUCGCACAUGACAGCACAUUUGAAGUUCGUGGUGAAUCUAUUGAUUUGGUGGACAUUGAUCAUUGGGACUGUAGCUGCAAAGGAUGGCAGCUCACUGGAUUGCCAUGCUGCCAUGCUAUUGCUGUUGUUGAACGCCUUGGUAGGAGCCCGCAUGAUUAUUGCUCCCAGUACUUCACAGCUGAAAGUUACCGCCUGACAUAUGCAGAAUCAAUUCACCCAGUACCAAAUGUUGAAAAACUGGUGAAGAGUGAACAGACCAAUGCAUUAGUUUUGGUGACUCCACCUAGUAAAUGUCCACGAGGAAGGCCAAAGAUGAAGCCUGCUGGGUCAAUAGAAAUAAUCAAACGCCAACUUCAAUGUAGCAAGUGCAAGGAUCUUGGCCACAAUAAAAGGACAUGCAAGAAAAUCAGCUUGCAGAUUUACUCACAAAAGGACUUCCUGGUGCUGUUUUUCAGAAGAUAACUAGCAAGCUGGGAAUGGAAGAUAUCCAUUGACCAGCAUAAGGGGGAGUGUUGAGAGAUAAGCAUUUUAUCCUAUUUUUUCCAGCCUUCCUUUCUUAUCUUUGAAUAGGAGGUUGCUGUCAAAGCUGAUCUAUUAGUAGACUUAUUCUCUUAUCUCUACCCGUUUUGUGGUUGAAACUGGUUUGGAUAAUGGCAGAGAGUUGAAGCAAGAAGCAUAAGAAUGACGAAUCUGAUGCUUUAGCCUUAACAAGUCUGGCAAGCUAGGCGACGCGACCAAAGCAACUGCAAGGACAACUCGCCUUUUGGAUGUAUGUUGAAUUAGUUUCUGCUUUUGGUUUUCUUAUAUAUGAACCCCAUGAGCUGCUAUACCGUCUGUAAAAAUAUUAUUGCAGUGGCCUUUUGUUAGUUUUUUGCCCAAUUGAACCUUGUAGAAGUCUGAUAGAGGACCAUUAUAAUCAAUUUCAUCUGGAUUUUGGAUCC